AUUAUCCAUUAGAAGAUUUAUCUCUGCUUCACAUUCAAGAGCUUUCGUGGCACCCGUACUUGAAUAAUUUUGCUACUGAUGGCUACUUGGUGGUUUUGGACUGUGUAAUUAUACAUCCACAGGGAGAAAAAGGCAUACUGCCAAAGCAUUUCAAGUGCUAUCUCAGCAAUGCAAAAGACUUGGCAUUUCCCACUGUCAUUUUUCAUUCUCAAAGUGCUAUAAACAUAUGCUGAAGAAAAUAUUUCAAGUACCUGGGAAGAGUAACGCAGUGCACUAUCAGCUCAACUCUUCUGGACAUAUUUAUUUAUUAUGCUAAAUGCAGGCAUCAUUAGAAACUAGUUGUCACAGAAGGAAUUAUUAUCCUUUUCGUUACUGUUGCACAGAUUUACUGUCUUUCUCCAUUGUCUCUUUUUUAGUUAUCAGAAUAAGACAAGUGAUACUCCAGCCCUUUCCCCACUACGUCACAUAGAAGAUACCAUACGAACUGCUAUAUUUUCUUAAUCUGUCCUUAUGUUUAAUCCAGGGAACAAAAUGAGGAAAGAGCUGAGUAUAUUGCUGCAGUUUAGUACCAGUGUUCCAUCGACUUGCAACAUAGUGUGGAUUCAGCAAGAAGUGUCCCAAGAAACGGUGGAACAUAGGAUGGAAAAUAACAGUGACAUCCACCUUUGUGCCAGGCACAGUAUGACUUACUACUUGUUGUUAAAAAGUUGGAAAGAAGCAAAACCCCAGCGACAAAAAAAAAAACAACCCUACAAAGCCAACAAAUUUUCUGGGGUCUUAAGAAAAACAAAACAACAAAACAAACUGUGAGAGAAUCAUGCAAAGGAGCUGAGAAGAGAGUUUCUGAUUGCAGGAGGGACUGAACACACCAAAGCUACCAAAGUGAGAGAGACCAGCAAACAGUUGGGAUGGAUUUAUCACUAUAAACAUUGAAAAUAUAGGGGAAAGGAGCUCCUUUAUAAGGAUACGGGGAACUGGGCAGAUUGGCUUUCCCAAGGUCUGUCUCGCACAGCUGACCAUAAGGGAUUCAUUUUUUUUUGAAGGAUUGCUUUAUUCUGGUUUAUCAUGAUCUAACAAAACCUUCCUCCAGAGACCAUAACUUGAGACAGACUGUGUAUUUAUUUUAAGGAAAUAUGGGGCAGAGACACCUUAAGGCUCUAGACAUCUCAAGCUUCUGCCAUGGAAUGAUAAAUAUUUAUGUUUCUGGAGAACUGUGUUAUUUCUUUUAGUCUCUUCAUCUACCCCAAUUAUUUUGGUGGAUACUGAUAUAGAGUGUUCUUUACCCAGCAUGGCAAUUCUGAUGAUGGAAACAUCAUACCAGAAAGCAGCAACAGCCAAAAGGUGGAACUUGUGGCUCCUUACUACAAUCAGCUGAUUCAGAGGUUUGUAGCUACAUUCAGAAUCAAACCCAUGAUCUAGAACUGAUGGAAAUUUUUGUGGCUGUGGAUAAUUCGUUACUAAGGACGGACAUUAUUUUCUAUCAUUUCCUCAGAGAUACAGACGGCCAGAGUAGUUGAAAGUUUUGUAUAUUUGCCAAAAUGUCAUACAGCUUCUAUAUGCAUAUUGACCUGAAUUACUACAUCCAUCUGUUUCUUUUAUUUCAUCUCGGAUUUAAACAGUAACAUUGUUUGCUGAAUGCUGUUAUUACAGAAGACUCUAAAUUUCACCAGCCCACUUUUCAAUGACUCCCUCCUCCCUAAUUGGAAACUCUCUUUCAUUGAUCCCAUUAAAUCAAUUUUGUUUUCAAAUGAUGAGGUACUGAAAGGAGACUGCUGAUGAUAUCUUUACACAUUAAAUCCCUUGCUUUUUGAUGUUAUGAUGGAAUAAAGAAGCUAUAAUA